UACGUAGGGUGCAGGCGUUAAUCGGAAUUACUGGGUGUAAAGGGAGCGUAGGUGGCAUGGUAAGUCAGAUGUGAAAGCCCGGGGCUCAACCCCGGGAUUGCAUUUGAAACUAUCAAGCUAGAGUGCAGGAGAGGUAAGUGGAAUUCCUAGUGUAGCGGUGAAAUGCGUAGAUAUUAGGAGGAACACCAGUGGCGAAGGCGGCUUACUGGACUGUAACUGACACUGAGGCUCGAAAGCGUGGGGAGCAAACAGG
rnacentral:rRNA from 1 species